UGGGGAAUAUUGCACAAUGGGGGAAACCCUGAUGCAGCCAUGCCGCGUGUGUGAAGAAGGCCUUCGGGUUGUAAAGCACUUUCAGCGAGGAGGAAAGGGUGUAAGUUAAUACCUUACAUCUGUGACGUUACUCGCAGAAGAAGCACCGGCUAACUCCGUGCCAGCAGCCGCGGUAAUACGGAGGGUGCGAGCGUUAAUCGGAAUUACUGGGCGUAAAGCGUGCGCAGGCGGUUUGUUAAGCGAGAUGUGAAAGCCCCGGGCUCAACCUGGGAACCGCAUUUCGAACUGGCAAACUAGAGUCUUGUAGAGGGGGGUAGAAUUCCAGGUGUAGCGGUGAAAUGCGUAGAGAUCUGGAGGAAUACCGGUGGCGAAGGCGGCCCCCUGGACAAAGACUGACGCU
rnacentral:rRNA from 1 species